CCUACGGGAGGCAGCAGUGAGGAAUAUUGGUCAAUGGGCGGAAGCCUGAACCAGCCAAGUAGCGUGCAGGAUGACGGCCCUACGGGUUGUAAACUGCUUUUAUACGGGAAUAACGCGCCUUACGUGUAGGGCUUUGCAUGUACCGUAUGAAUAAGGACCGGCUAAUUCCGUGCCAGCAGCCGCGGUAAUACGGAAGGUCCGGGCGUUAUCCGGAUUUAUUGGGUUUAAAGGGAGCGUAGGCGGAAUGUCAAGCCUGCUGUGAAAGUUUCGGGCUCAACCGGGGCAUUGCAGCGGAAACUGGCGGGCUUGAGUCCGCGGAAGGCAGGCGGAAUUCGUCGUGUAGCGGUGAAAUGCUUAGAUAUGACGAAGAACCCCGAUUGCGAAGGCAGCUUGCUGCAGCGGAACUGACGCUGAUGCUCGAAAGCGCGGGUAUCGAACAGGAUUAGAUACCCGUGUAGUC
rnacentral:rRNA from 1 species